AGAGUUUGAUCAUGGCUCAGGACGAACGCUGGCGGCGUGCUUAAUACAUGCAAGUCGAACGGGAAGGCCCUGCUUUUGUGGGGUGCUCGAGUGGCGAACGGGUGAGUAACACGUGAGUAACCUGCCCUUGACUUUGGGAUAACUUCAGGAAACUGGGGCUAAUACCGGAUAGGAGCUCCUGCUGCAUGGUGGGGGUUGGAAAGUUUCGGCGGUUGGGGAUGGACUCGCGGCUUAUCAGCUUGUUGGUGGGGUAGUGGCUUACCAAGGCUUUGACGGGUAGCCGGCCUGAGAGGGUGACCGGCCACAUUGGGACUGAGAUACGGCCCAGACUCCUACGGGAGGCAGCAGUGGGGAAUAUUGCACAAUGGGCGGAAGCCUGAUGCAGCAACGCCGCGUGCGGGAUGACGGCCUUCGGGUUGUAAACCGCUUUCGCCUGUGACGAAGCGUGAGUGACGGUAAUGGGUAAAGAAGCACCGGCUAACUACGUGCCAGCAGCCGCGGUAAU
rnacentral:rRNA from 1 species